rnacentral:rRNA from 1 species
UUGGCGACGGGUGAGUAACGCGUGGGGAACCUGCCCUGUACAGGGGGAGUAACACUUAGAAAUAGGUGCUAAUACCGCAUAAGCGCACAGUAUCGCAUGAUACAGUGUGAAAAACUCCGGUGGUACAGGAUGGACCCGCGUCUGAUUAGCUGGUUGGCGGGGUAACGGCCCACCAAGGCGACGAUCAGUAGCCGGCCUGAGAGGGUGAACGGCCACAUUGGGACUGAGACACGGCCCAAACUCCUACGGAAGGCAGCAG